UUUCUGGGUUAUCAAAAGCUCAGCUCAAUCAACUCAUGAGCAAAAUAGGCAUGGAUCUGAUGGAAAUGGAAUUUGCGGACAUUCUUAGGCCAUGUAAACAGAAACAAUAUUGUUUCUGCCUCAAACCAUAUGACGCCAAAGAUAAAACAACGGAAUGGAUUUGUUGCGAUAACUAUGACUGUAGUGAAAACCAGUGGUAUCACCAAGUAAGAAUAUUUUUGUUUGCUUUAAUGUGAUAUAAAUUAAACCGGUUGAAUUUUUCCCAGGCCUGUAUAAAGAAGUAUACAGCUAAACGAGGAAAUAUGAAAUGGAAAAAAAUCACUAAAGAUAGUUUCACUGGUAAAUGGUACUGCACAGAGAAAUGCAUGAAAGACGACGCAGAUCAAGUAUUCAAAUACACGAAAACUCUUCUGUAUUCCAUUCUAAACUUAGAGGUAGAAUAAGCCACCUUCGAUGAUAAGGUUGUAUAUUAAUAUGCUGUGCGAUUUGCAGUGUUUCAGGUCCGCCAUUAACUUUAAUCACGGUGACAAUAUAAUGAUCUUCCGCAAAUUACAUCUCAUAACAUACCAAGGAAAGUCACACAAGAACUAUCUAAAUUUAACACACUAUUAUCUGAGUUUACUGCAUGGGUUUGCACCUGAACAUGUAGCUCAUGCCAUGAAAUGGAAUUCAACUUGCAAUACUAAUGGUGGACAGAACAAAAAUAACCCGCAUGAUAUAGUGACGGAAUUUGUAGUUGGCGACACGAAGGGUUAGUAUCUUAAUGCAACUGUUACUACGGUUCGCAAGUAACGUAUCACCAUCUAGGGAACCAGAAUAAAAAUGUUGCCGAGAUGGUGAUAUGUUACUUACGUACCGUAAUAUUAUAAUAAAUGUUGCAGAAGCCUUCUCUCAUUCAAGUGGGAAACUCACGGAAAAGAUGAUAAGAAUUCGUGGAUCCACAGGAGGAAACCUUGCAGAAAUUGAAAAGCGCGCUGCAAAAGAGCUUAUGGGAGAAGAGUUCACCCCAGUUGUUGGGAAAGCUCAUAGGUUUUUGCAGGAAGUAACAGACUGCUCACAAUAUUUAGUUUCAGAGUGCGAAAAUUUAUUUGUUAAGCACACAAAUCUUUCCAAAAUUAGAGUGCAUUCCGGGUUUGAAAAUUUCAAUAGCGAUUUCAUGUAUAUCGGGAAUUACUUUGAAUAUGAAAAGACUAUGAAAAACUUAUCCAAAAACCUGUCAAAAAUAUCGCGCAUACAAAAUAGAAAAUAUGCCAUCGACAUGCACGUUGGAGUUAAAGUGUUGGAGCAAGAUAAUUUCUCAAGUUAUACUAGUAUAGCCUAAGUUUUUCCAUACCAUUGUUAAAAAUAAUAUGAUUUUAAAAAUUUACGUUGGCAGAAGUAUAACACCAUUAUGUUGUUAUUAAUUAAUAAUACUUAUACCCUGAUUCAAAAAGUUGUGCACUAUGGGGGUGGAGACGUUAUUUUUUUAUUUAAAGAACAUUUUAUUUUUGCGCAUCACAGCAAGAAAACUAUUUUUAAACAAGAUGGUGUUUGCCAAAAAAGAUUCCCCAUCAAUCCGAAAAAAUAUAAUUUUUCAGAGUUUUACGAAAUUUCGAUAAAAACUUAAUUAUUUCAACCACACCCACACCCUGAAAUCGAAAUAACCCAAACCCAGAUUGAAUUUCCACCUUGGGGGUCCAUUUCAUACCCUUAAUUAUUUUUGCCGCGGAUAAGGAUAUUUUGAACACAGUGCGGCGGUGGUGGUGGCAGAGCCAACAGUCCAAGUAGAAAUGGAUUGAACUCUACUGUACUAUCCUCGCACUCAGCCCUUGCACCUCAUUUGCAUAUUUUAACGCAUUCGCGAGAGCCAUAGAGUUUAUUCAACAUGGAAAGCUCGUAUCGCCGAAAAUGGGCUAUUGAGAUUUAUGCAAAUGAGGUGCAAAGCCUAAGUACGGGGAUAGUAAGUUGAGUUCAACACUUGGACUACGAACUUGUUCGUUGCCUCCAUUAGAACGUUGUUGUUUUUUAUGAGCUUUAACCAACACUGCUAAUCGAGCCCGCUGCCGCAGUUGUAUUUUUCUGAGGCUUGGGCGAGGCAUGAUUGAUUUCUGUGGAAAAUUUUUAAAAAUAGUAAAGAAUUAUGGUUUUAUUUGUUGACAUUGUUUUGAUUCACUAUCACGAUCUAGUUCCUGCGAGGACUCUAACUGAACCAGUUAGAGUUCCUGGAAAGUGUAUUUGAAAAAAAGCCACCGCAAAACAGAUGAAAAAGUGAGAUUUUUGGAGCACACACGAUUUCGUUGCCAAAACGUGGUGGCUGCAACUCUCACCGCCACCCCAUAUAUCAUGGCAUCAAAAAAUGAGGUUGAACUCACAUAGGUGGCGUCGGCACCCCUAUUUCUGCACCAGACCCACCAUCGUAGAACCUAAAGUUUGGGGAGACACGACUCCGACAUUCGAGAGAAUAUGCUCAAAUUAGGGUGCCCAGGCCACCUAUGUGAGUUCAACCUCAUUUUUUGAUGCCAGGAUAUGUGGGGAUUGGUGGUGGUGGCGGUGAGGCAGGGUGGUCCACCACCGUCGUGGAGUGAAGCACACACUGCAUGGGCGUGCAGCAGCCACCACGCGCUUCGUGAAUGCUACCGAUUAAGGGGGAGAAAUGAACCCUCCAUCGAUGCGUUUUUCCUUAUGCACUUUCCGCGAACCCUUUCUGGCACCUCCAACUCUCAAAUGCCAGUUGGGUUCGCCGCGUGAACUAAUCACGAUCUGUAAGGGUGCGGGAAGUUGGCGAACGGCGAACGUGAAUUUGGCGAACCAGCGAACAAAAACGUGAAUUUGGCGAACCAGCGAACAAAAACGUGAAGUUUGCGAACCAGCGAACAAAAACGUGAAUUUGGCGAACCAUCGAACGGCGAACGCGAACCAGCUAACCAAAAGGACAUUUAUUGGACUGCGUGUAUAGAAGUCACCAAAUUCAAAUUUUUUAAAAUGCGUAGAAAGUGAUGGUCUCGCCCAUCCUUGAAGAAUUUCUGGACAAGGGGUCAUAUCAAUUCAAAAGUUCUCCAUUUUUUAUAGAUUUUAAAAUUUGGUAAUACGAGUUAUUUUUUGCUCAGAGAGUUUGCUUGUCAAGAAAGAUAAAAUACUCAGAUGUCCUACAAAAUGCAAGCGAGUAAUUUGUGGGUAUCGUUUUAUGCUGGAUUUUGAUGCAAGCGUGUAAAACGUUGCAGAAUACAAAAAUUCACCUAUUUCAGCAUAAUUACUUAAAACAUAGCUAUUUUAAUUAACAACCAACACGUAUCCUCACUAAUGGUACAAUUGACGGGAAGUUCCUAUUCAAGCUCGUGUCCAGUGCUUCUAAUUCUUUACAUACAUCCUUCAACUUCUUCUGAAUCCUGUUUAUUAUGCAGCGAAUUCUUCAGAUAAUUCCUACGUUUGUUGUUUCAAAUUCUUGUUCAUCAUCUUCUGUUUGUGACUGGAUUUGUUGUCUUCUCACGUCUGACCUUUAAUAUUCCCUUGUUAAUCAGUUGCCUCCCAAGCACAUUAAAGUCAUGUGGCGCACAAGCCGUCGCUAAGGGCCCAAGUACAUCAAAGUCAUGCACUCCUUGAACAGUUACCAUGCGCCCAAAUACAUGAACGUCGUGUACUCCGACUGCGGUAGCUAUGGGCCCAAGCACAUCAAUGUCAUGUAAUUACAAAAAGAAAAUUUUCCGCUACGGAAAUUCCGCCCGAGCACAUCAAAUAAUUUUAAAAAUCAGUAAAAAUUUCUAAAUAGCUGUAGUUUGUUUGGAGCGUGUAUAUUACACUUGUGUAGAUCUUCAGGCAUGUCUGGUGAGUAUUUAUCAUCAACACACAUAUAUGUAUGUAUAAAUAUAUAUACUAUUUUCUCAUACUUGAAAAUACGUGCAGACAGUGAAGAAGUCGAAUUUUCUCUCGGGUAGAUUGCGACUCCGAUGAGGAAUUCUUGCGACACGAACACAACGACGACGAUGACGAUCAACUUCUCGGAACAUGAAGAUGAUCAAGGCCCGGAAGUAGAUUCCGAGCACGAGUUAGGUGACCUCGAUGAACACACCGAUACCAAUGUGAUCCGCUACCGUAGUUAAUGAAUCGCAAGUUAAUGAGUAUGAGGUACCGGGGAAAUUUUUUAAAAUGCGUAGAAAGUGAUGGUCUCGCCCAUCCUUGAAGAAUUUCUGGACAAGGGGUCAUAUCAGUUCAAAAGUUCUCCAUUUUUUAUAGAUUUUAAAAUUUGGUAAUACGAGUUAUUUACAGUUUUUUCUAUUAGAUCAGUUGGAAUAAAUCCUUAGUCCUAGAGAACUAAUGGAACAAACCAUAGUAUACCUGGUAAGUUUUACAUCAACGAUAUCCUGCAAUUUCUCUCAAAGUAAUUACUAUGGGCGUACUCACGACAACUUCUUAUUUCGCGUCGCAACUCAUUUAGCAAACUUGCGAAGAUCAAAAUAUUUCUGUCGUGAGGGGAUUCGCAAAAUAUGACUUCGCAAAACUCUCUUAUCUCGUAAAUCUACUAAAAAACACUUAUUUUGGUAUUGUUUCCAUGGAUUUCUGUAAUUUCUCUUGCAAUUUCUCUUGUAAUUACUUUGCGAAAUAAUUUUGCGAAAUAAGGACAUGCUCGAUUGCUGGGUAAAUUUGCGAACAAAA